CACAGGCAGGCCAAAGAGACAGGAUUUGCGGAAAUAUCACAGAAAAAGGACAACUAUCUUAUAGAUGAAAAAUCAGAAACAAGAGGAAGUUAGGUAAACACAGCUUUGAAAGUGAAGACAAGAAACUUGAAUUUAAUGUAAAAAGAGGAAGCUCAGAAAAUCAAGUACACAGAUGGAUGACAUGCUCUACGUAUGACUGAUAAAAGUAACAGAAGAAAUAUAGAUCCUAUAAAAUUCAAUUUUAAUACUUCAGGAUGGUGCAAAAUUGUGUCUGGAUGCCAAGCUUUUCCCAUGAUUUCCUGGAUGAAAACUGGAAGUUUUAAACAUUUUGAUCAGAUAUCUUUUGCUGACUGUCAUUUUCCUUACACAACUGCUGUGUCUCCAAAGUAUAAACCAUGAUGCUUUACAGUGGUAAAUGGGUACAGAUGCAGGAAUCCUUGGCAGUUCUGUGCAUGUUUAUAAAACCUGAUACUGUAUACUUUGACAACCUGAUGCUCAGCAUUUCAGAAGAAAUAUUCUGUCUCCAGCAUCCCUUUUCCUCACUUUCUCCUUCUUUUGGUUAUUUCCACAUACCAUGCAAAGAUCUAAUAUCCAAAAAUUUAGUGGUAUAAGAGUUCUCCUUCUGAAACAUUUUGAACUAAAUAUAAACAUUGCAGUCUCAGUCUACUAAAGGACUUGUUCCCCUUUGAUCUUUUGUUGUAGGUUUUUGCCAUUAAUACUAUUGUCUCCUUCCUGACAGUCUGUUAAGUGGACAAGAAUAGUACAAACCUCAUAAUGACAGAAAUCUCUAAAAUGAUGAAUAAAGAAAAUGAAAUCUCUAGAUGAUUUUCUUUCUGAGCAAGAAAUAUUGUUAUACACUAUGACAAGCUUUCUGCACUGUCACUAAGGCACUAUAAACUGAUUCUCAUAUACAGAAUAUUUUAAUCUUUUGUUUUUCUUACUGUUUCAGAGAAAUACCCUUAUUAAUUUUCAUUGUUAACUAUAAAUUUGAUUUCUUGGAGGAAAGGAUAUUUCAUAUAUUAAAAAAAAUCGAUAGUGAUUUUGUCCCAUGGGAUGCCUGAGAAUAUCACAUCUUAAUAAGAAGAUAUGUAGCGUAUAUUACAAAUGAAAUUAUGAAAUGGCACCAUUUUUUAAAGUGCACUUUGACAUAUCUUGUUUCCAAAUAACUUUUUCUGAUUGACAUCAUUGUGUCCAUUGAUUGAUAAGUAACUUGAUCUCUAAAACCUGCUUUGAUAACCCAGCUUAAAGCAGGGCGGUUGGACUGGAUGAUUUCCAGAGGUCCCUUCCAACCUUAACUAUUCUACGAUUCUGUGACAACAAGGGAGGAUAUGUCUGAAUCUUUGUUCUGUUCAAAAAAGAGCAUGGAAGUAAGAUCCAGUUCACCUCUUUAGUUAUUUAAUCCAAAUAAAAACAUAGUUUAGUGCAACUUUCUUUAAGAUCAAUGGGUAUGUUUUCCUUAGUUCAACAGAAGGUGGAUCAGGUUUUGAGUAGGAGCUAAGCAUCGUUUUCAGGAAAAUGCCUACAAACUUGAAAUCUUGAACUUCAAUAAAAUUUGCACAUAGCCAUAUUGACCCCCAAAAAAGUAUUUCACAUGGUUUAAAACUCUUUAGUAGUGCUGGAUUUAUAGACUGAAUGUUUAGUUUUAUUUGAAAGUUUCCUGUCCAAGAAACUAAGAAACUUUCUGCUUAGUUUUCAUGUUUCCACUGUGAUGUACUUUUAAAUGACAUAAAUUCAGACUGUAUGUUACUUCAUUUGUUUUGUUGCAUUACCUUGCAAUACAUUACA